rnacentral:snRNA from 1 species
GUGCUCCCUUCGGCAGCACAUAUGCUAAAAUUGGAACAAUACAGAUGAUUAGCAUGGCCCUGCACAAGGAUGACACUCAAAUUCAUGAAGCAUUCCAUAUUUUU